UACGAAGGGGGCUAGCGUUGCUCGGAAUACUGGGCGUAAAGCGCACGUAGGCGGCUACUUGAGUACGGUGUAGGAAAUCCUGGAGCUCAACUCCAGAACUGCCUUCGAUACUGGGAGCCUUGAGUCCGGGAGAGGUGAGUGGAACUGCGAGUGUAGAGGUGAAAUUCGUAGAUAUUCGCAAGAACACCAGUGGCGAAGGCGGCUCACUGGCCCGGUACUGACGCUGAGGUGCGAAAGCGUGGGGAGCAAACAGGG
rnacentral:rRNA from 1 species